rnacentral:tRNA from 1 species
AUUAGCUCAGCUGGUAGAGCACCUGACUCUUAAUCAGGUUGUCCAGGGUUCGAACCCCUG